CUUAACAAUAGGAUAAAAAUGAGCCAUAUUAAAAUAGAUAGGCAACGCCAUAUACAUAUUGUUGUAGUUUUAACUAUUUUAAAAAUUAAUAGUCUGAAGAAUAUUUCUUUCUUGAACUUGGCUGAGUUUUGAUGAUAACAAACUCACAUCACAAAAGAAGAAAGUUUAUGGAGACUCAACAUGAGGAAACAAGAUGAAGACCAAGUAUUAGACUUAGUAUUUAAAUUAUUUUGGGGUAUGUAACCUAUUUUUUGUUGGAACCGGUAGAGUUUGUCGGGUGUGGAGCUAGGUCUUUUAAGAUCUAGUUGGUUGAUGGUCUCUUGUGUCUGCCCUUCUUCGUGGUUGAUCCUUGUCUCCCUCUGAGGGGUUUCAAAUUAUCUUCCCGUGUUGGGAGGUUAGAGUUGUUUAGGUUUUGUUGUUGGUGUGCCUUUGGUUUUGCAUGUUUGUUUUUUAGAUAGCCGUACAUACGUGGAGUGUACUUCUGGUACCACUUUUUUCUAUUUUUUUCAUGUACUAUUUUCGUAUUUAUUAAUAUAUAUACUAUUAUUGUGCAA